AACGGCCGCGGUAUCCUAACCGUGCAAAGGUAGCAUAAUCAUUUGCCCAUUAAUUGUGGGCUAGUAUGAAAGGGUUAACGAAAUAAAGACUGUCUCUAUUAAUCACCUAAAAACUAUUCUCUACUUGAAGAAAAGUAGAUUCUCUCGAAGGACAAGAAGACCCUAUAGAGCUUAAUUUUACCUAUAGAUCUAACACUAUAAAAAUAUUCGGUUGGGGCGACCCAGGGCUAAUUAAUCACCCACAAAAAAAAAGAUAUAUAAAUCAAAUAAAUGACCCCCAUAGAUCAAAAGACCAAGCUACCUUAGGGAUAACAGGCUAAUCCCACUUAAGAGUCCUUAUCAACAGUGGGGUUUGGCACCUCGAUGUUGGCUUAGG
rnacentral:rRNA from 1 species